rnacentral:lncRNA from 1 species
UCUGAACGUUCGGAGAAAGUACAUUAAAUUGCUUCCGAGGAUGCAACUUUUCUUUAAAUCCGGAGAACCAACUGCAACAUGUGUUUAAACGAGCGAUAUCUAGAAGAUGCCAAAACAGAAAACUAAAAAUAAAAAUGUCAACUCCAUCAUCUGGAUGCCAUGAGGAUGUUAACAAAGGCCUGAACCACUGUGGGAUCUAAGUCCAGUCCAGCUCUGGGAAAAAGAACUGGGUAAUCAUUAUUCACUAAUGGAGAAUGUAUAUUUUCAUAAAUGUACUCAGAUUACAAAUGG